CCUACGGGUGGCAGCAGUGAGGAAUAUUGGUCAAUGGUCGGGAGACUGAACCAGCCAAGCCGCGUGAGGGAUGAAGGUACAGAGUAUCGUAAACCUCUUUUGUCAGGGAACAAAGGCGGGGACGCGUCCCCGGAUGAGUGUACCUGAAGAAAAAGCAUCGGCUAACUCCGUGCCAGCAGCCGCGGUAAUACGGAGGAUGCGAUCGUUAUCCGGAUUUAUUGGGUUUAAAGGGUGCGCCGGCGGUCUGUUAAGUAAGCGGUAAAAGCCCGGGGCUCAACCCCGGCCCGCCGUUGAAACUGGCAGUCUCGAGUUGGAGAGAAGUAUGCGGAAUGCGCGGUGUAGCGGUGAAAUGCAUAGAUAUCGCGCAGAACUCCGAUUGCGAAGGCAGCAUGCCGGCUCCACACUGACGCUGAGGCACGAAAGCGUGGGUAUCGAACAGGAUUAGAUACCCCAGUAGUC
rnacentral:rRNA from 1 species